rnacentral:ncRNA from 1 species
UAUCUUCAGGGCAGGGCGUAAAUCCCUACCGGCGGUAUAGCCCGCGAGCCGUAAGGCAUGAUUCGGUGAAAUUCCGAGGCCGACAGUAUAGUCUGGAUGAAAGAAGGUA